rnacentral:tRNA from 1 species
GCGGGGGUGCCCGAGAGGCCAAAGGGGCAGGACUUAAGAUCCUGUGGUGUAGACCUUCGUGGGUUCAAAUCCCUCCCCCCGCA